rnacentral:lncRNA from 1 species
CAAUAAUACAAAUUAUUGGUGAUUGAUCAACUGUAAGGAUUCUUCAGUAAAGUCUUUGUUAUCAUUCAAUGGAAGAUGACCAAUUACAUGUCAAAAAUGUCAUUGAGAAAUACUGCACCAAACAUCUUAGUUAGAUGUAAAACUGUGUAACAAAUUAAUGGCAGAUUUCUUGUGUACUGGCUACGGCGUCUCAAAAUGGACAAACAGUACUACUGCCGCUUUUUUCUCAUUUCUCAAGCAAAGGUCUUCUAUGGGAGAAUGCGAGCACACUCGUUUGGUUUGGCUAGCCGCCAGCCGAACUCAAGCAUGCUGACGCCAUGGAAGAGGGUGACAAUGCAGCUGCAGCUGUCAGUGAAGGGAGGGUGAAGGCUACUGGACAGGAGGGUGUAGGCUACUGGACAGGAGAGUGUAGGCUACUGGACAGGAGAGUGUAGGCUACUGGACAGGAGUGUGUAGGCUACUGGACAGGAGAGUGUAGGCUACUGGACAAGAGAGUGUAGGCUAUUGGACAGGAGAGUGUAGGCUAUUGGACAGGAGAGUGUAGACUACUGGACAGGAGAGUGUAGGCUACUGGACAGGAGAGUGUAGGCUACAGGGCAGCAGAGUGUAGGCUACUGGACAGGAGAGUGUAGACUACUGGACAGGAGAGUGUAGGCUACUGGACAGGAGAGUGUAGGCUACUGGACAGGAGAGUGUAGGCUACAGGGCAGCAGAGUGUAGACUACUGGACAGGACAGGAGGGUGUAGGAUACUGGACAGGACAGGAGGGUGUAGGAUACUGGACAGGGCAGGUCAUUUUGUGGGAGGACAUUAUAAACAUAUGACCCAGUUCCACUCCCUCGAGGGGAACCCUUUUGAAGACAGAGAGAUAAUAGCAACAUGAUAUUCUAAUAUGAGUAUAAUGAAGCCUGUUUCUUUGUGAUGUUUUCUGUCCCUCAG